rnacentral:rRNA from 1 species
GACAGAGGUGCCAAGCGUUAGGCGGAAUCACUGGGCUUAAAGCGUGUGUAGGCGGAUUUGUAAGUACCUUGUGAAAUCCCAUGGCUCAACCAUGGAACUGCUCGGUAUACUGCGAAUCUUGAGCCACUUAGGGGCUACCGGAACAAAUGGUGGAGCGGUGAAAUGCGUAGAUAUCAUUUGGAACGCCAAUGGUGAAAACAGGUAGCUGGGAGUGUGCUGACGCUGAGACACGAA